rnacentral:rRNA from 1 species
GGAAUUGUUCGCAAUGGGCGCAAGCCUGACGACGCAACGCCGCGUGGAGGAUGAAGGUCUUCGGAUCGUAAACUCCUGUUGCCCGGGAAGAAUGGCUCCGACCUAAUACGUCGGAGUGUGACGGUACCGGGUGAGGAAGCCCCGGCUAACUCUGUGCCAGCAGCCGCGGUAAUACAGAGGGGGCGAGCGUUGUUCGGAAUUACUGGGCGUAAAGGGCGCGUAGGCGGCCUGCUAAGUCGGACGUGAAAUCCCCGGGCUCAACCCGGGAACUGCGUCCGAUACUGGCAGGCUCGAAUCCGGGAGAGGGAUGUGGAAUUCCAGGUGUAGCGGUGAAAUGCGUAGAUAUCUGGAGGAACACCGGUGGCGAAGGCGGCAUCCUGGACCGGCAUUGACGCUGAGGAGCGAAAGCCAGGGGAGCA